AUGGGGAAGGUCAAAAAAGGAGACCGGAUGGAGGUGCUCGAGGCUGAGGAAGCUGGAGAUGCACAACUAGCUUCACUGGCCAUCCGGUGGUUGGAGCACGGGGCAAUGCUCCAGUCGCGAUGGGGUGCAGCUGCGCAGGAGGGGGAGGCUGGCGACAGGGAACCAAGCCACGGAGGAGGCAAGCAGCGGUUGCGGAUGUGGUCAGCGGUUGAGGGAGGGUCACCGACUAGAGCAGCAGGAGCAAGGAGCUCGAGGAGGUUCAAGGGUGCCGAGAAGAAUGGAAGGCAGAGCUCUGUGAGGGCAGGACUAGAGGAGCUGACGAUGGUCAUGGUUUGCCUCUACUACAACGUCUGCCAAAGACAGAUAUAG
rnacentral:rRNA from 1 species